UGGAGUUAUGCAUGUGUCUCACUGCGCACUACACACACAUCUCUGCAAUCACACACUUCUCCAGCAUGCACACAGGACUGCUCUCUCUGUGGGUGACAGGGGUUUUGUUGCUGCCUCAGUGUUUGGGUUAUACAGAUGAUAGUGAAUUUGAUUAUGCGACACAGACCGCAGGAUACACCGACUAUACAGAUUACUCCUUUGAAUAUGAAUCUGACUAUAAUACAACCAGUAUAAAUUAUGAUAUGUAUGUAACUCCCAAUCAAGGCAAUAAACAUGGAGAAUCCAAUUCAGUAAACGAAGAAGCAGUCCGCGGUGGCAUGAACCCGAUAAAUGAUGAGGCCUCAACAGUGUGUAGAUACUGUGCUGUAGGACUGGGACUUAUAGUGCAACGGUUCUGCCAAUAAACAUGACUGGGAUUUUUACACACACAGCCUGAACAAAGGGCUGAAAGAAUUUGGAUUUUCGGGCACUGCAGGAUGCCAUUUCAGAUGCCCAAGCAGCUUGACCUUUUCUUCAGAGGGUGCACUGUGGGUUCUUUUUAACUGUUCUUUUAAGCAUUUAUUCUGAGUUUUGUAAAACCUUCAUUAAAUAUAAAGUGUACACUGUAGAAUUUGGCCAAGCAAUAGUGACUUAUACAUUGGUUCAUCAAAAAGCCCUAGAAAGAUACACUUACUAUUACCCAUGCCUAAUUCACUUACAUUGUAAGCUAGCCACAUAGGCGUCACAAUGGAUCGUGAGCCUUUUUUUAUUGAAAAAAACCCCAAAACAAAUACAAAACAGAUAUCAGGUACAGAACUUAAUGUAAAGUUGCUGGCAGCAUACAUAGUAAAUUAUAGGGUUGAAUAUUAAUAGCAAAUAUGAAUAUAUUUUUAUUAACAAAUUGGGCAGAAUUCCACCUCCAUUUUUUUUAAAAAGAACAAUCAAUCAUGUAAUUGUAUGCAAACAAAUGUUUUUACACAACUUUAAAGCAUCAAACAUUUCAUUUUGGAAGCACCAACCUCUCAUUCAGACUUUGUAAAUCAAACAGAGUUGGAUAUAGAGAGAUUGAUGGAGAGAUAGAAAUAAAGCAGAAUGAUUUUUUAUAUUAAUUGUUAUAAUGAUGUUAGGGAGAAAACAAUUAUUACCGUGAUGUUACAGAAAACAAACAAACAAUAUCCAAUAUUACCGCAUGAGUGUAGAACACUCAUUUUUAAGCUGUUUGGCAAUCUCUUUGGCAUAAAAAACACACAAUUUGCUUAUACUCUUACAAAAAACGGUUCCUUAAGGGAUCAGUUUGCUUACACUCUCACAAAAAGGUCCUUCACUCCCUAAAGAGCUUUACUUGAAACCCUAAAUUUUAAGAAUUCCCUUAGAGUGACAAAAAAGAACCCCACAAUGAACAUUAAAUCACAGUUGUGGUAAAAAGAAAACCAAAAAUAAUUUCCUUUGAUUGCAAAUAUUUCACCCCCCCCCCCCCCCCCCCCCCAAGACAGAUUUACCACUCUUGCCUUGGCACAUUGGUAAUUUUUUAUUAAUUCACCUGAAGCGAUUAUCAGAAAAGGCUCUGCAGGCUUAUGCUAUUUUAUAGUCAGGUUUGAUCUUGUUUUGACUUGUUGACAAGAAUGAAAGCAAAGCACAGCUUUCGUUCUCUCUGAUUCUAUGUGAAAUUUUAGACAAAUGUUUAAAAACAACCCCUGUAUUUUUGUCCAAUCUGUCACAUGAACAGAAGCACAUUUUAAGCUGAAAGACUUGUUUUUGUCUGACUCUUGCAAGCCUUUGAUAUGUAUCAUUUUAGGAUUUUAUAUCUAAAUUUCAGAUGUGGGUAACGUUGCUGAAAGCUUUCCUCAAAUAAUCCCUACUGCUUGCAAAAAACAAUUAUAUCUUAAAUCCCUAAUUUAGGAGUAACUAUGGUAACUAGUUGAUGGUAACUAGAGUCAGCUGGUGUCCAAUAACCUUCACAUUGCAUUUGGAAGAGAGACAGAGAGAGAGACAGAGAGAGAGAGAGAGAGAGAGAGAGAGAGAACACCACCACAGCACUGCUACAAUACCCACCACAUACAAUCAUUAUUAAAGUCCCUUACUGCAGACAUGUAAUAAACAAAUAAAGGAAUUAUGCCUUGGGACAUAACAAUAUAAAAUGAGUAGAUUUUCAGUAGCCAUUCAGUAUAAAUAAGAGAUUAGUUAGUAUAUAUUAUUAUACUAACAUGAAUUACAGAAGAUAAUAAAAAAAGUUCAGCAUGACUAAAUCUCUGCCACAUUGUGAAGGGUAUUCUGUUUUUUUUCUUCUUUCAGUGAAUCAGAUCAUUUAACUAAGCUCACUGGUAAUAGAUGACUCCCAAAUAGCUCAGUGCCAUUUUUUAGUUUAAACUUAAUAAAUGUUGUGAUAUCAUGACAGUGAUUGUUAUUUCUUUGUUGCAUGGAAUCUUGUUUUACCUUCUAAUGGAAGAAAUAACAUUGUUUUGCAUAGAAUUUUGAAUCAGGUGCUACAAAUGUGCAUUAAAAAAUACUGGCUUUCACUGCA
ensembl:lncRNA